rnacentral:rRNA from 1 species
AUUGAACGCUGGCGGCAUGCUUUACACAUGCAAGUCGAACGGCAGCGCGGGCUUCGGCCUGGCGGCGAGUGGCGAACGGGUGAGUAAUGCAUCUGAACGUGCCCAGUAGUGGGGUAUAGCCCGGCGAAAUCCGGAUUAAUACCGCAUACUACCUGCUGGUGAAAGCGGGGGACCGAAAGGCCUCGCGCUAUGUGGGCGGCCGAUGUCGGAUUAGCUAGUUGGUGGGGUAAAGGCUUACCAAGGCGACGAUCCGUAGCUGGUCUGAGAGGACGACCAGCCACCCUGGGACUGAGACACGGACCAGACUCCUACGGGAGGCAGCAGUGGGGAAUUUUGGACAAUGGGGGCAAACAUGAUCCAGCCAUGCCGAGUGCGGGAAGAAGGCCUUCGGGUUGUAAACCGCUUUUGUUCGGGAAGAAAUCCUCUGGGCUAAUACCCCGGGGGGAUGACGGUAACGGAAGAAUAAGCACCGGCUAACUACGUG